rnacentral:rRNA from 1 species
GACGUAGGAGGCGAGCGUUGUCCGGAUUCAUUGGGCGUAAAGAGCUCGUAGGCGGUUCCGUAAGUCAGAUGUGAAAACUCAGGGCUCAACCCGGAGACGCCAUCUGAUACUGCGGUGACUGGAGUCUGGUAGGGGAACACGGAAUUCCUGGUGUAGCGGUGAAAUGCGCAGAUAUCAGGAGGAAUACCAGCGGCGAAGGCGGCGCUCUGGGCCGGUACUGACGCUGAGGAGCGAAAGCGUGGGGAGCAAACAGG